UUCCCAUUCCCAUUCCCAUCCCCAUUCCCAUUCCCAUUCCCAUUCCCAUCCCCAUUCCCAUUCCCAUUCCCAUUCCCAUUCCCAUCCCCAUUCCCAUUCCCACUCCCAUUCCCAUUCCCAUUCCCAUCCCCAUUCCCGUUCCCAUUCCCAUUCCCAUUCCCAUUCCCAUUCCCACUCCCAUUCCCAUUCCCAUUCCCAUUCCCAUCCCCAUUCCCACUCCCAUUCCCAUUCCCAUUCCCAUUCCCAUCCCCAUUCCCAUUCCCACUCCCAUUCCCAUUCCCAUUCCCAUCCCCAUUCCCGUUCCCAUUCCCAUUCCCAUUCCCGUUCCCAUUCCCAUUCCCAUUCCCAUUCCCGUUCCCACCCCCAUUCCAUUCCCGUUCCCAUUCCCAUUCCCGCUGUCCCCUCUCCCUGUUCCUCUCCCCUGGGCUCUCCCUUGGGACAGGAUGUGCCAGCCUGGAAUUCCCUGAGGAGCCCUUGGGACGGGAGGUGCUGCUGUAUCCAUGGAAAGCCGGGAUGGAGGCGUCACCCUUGGAUCAUUAUCGGGAUUUUCCCUCUGCUCUGUGAGGUUGGAUUUGGGAUUGUGGCAUGUGGGAGCUGGGAUUUGGCAGAGUUAAUGAAUAAUUAAUUUCCUGUGUUAAUUAAUGACAUGUGGCAGUGGCAGGAAUGGUGUCCAACAUUCCAUCAGUGAAACCCCUUUGGAAAAUGGAUCAGUUCCCGUUGGCUUUGGAUAACGUUCCUGACUUUAUCAGGAAUUUAUUGGGAGUGAGAUUUUUGAUCCUGGUUUUUUCCCUCCGUGCUGGGAAGUUCCAGCAAAGCCUGGAGUUUCCCAGGUGUAUUUGGGGCUGAACUUCGGGACAAACAAACGGGAAAGGAACAAUUCGGCUCCUCCCCGGCGGCUUCGCUCACCUGAACCUCUCUUACCUCAUCCAGGAAGGGCUUUGUGCUGUCCCAGCCUGGAUUUGUAGGGAAUUCCCGGAAUUCCCGGGUGGCUCUCACGGCUCCCAGCACUGGGACAUUCCCCUGGAAUGUGUAUUUUUGUAUUGGAUGCUGAUGGGAAGAGAGGGAUUUUCCUCUCUCCUUGAUUCGGGGCUUUCCCCUUCUCUUUUUGAUUCCCUCAAAUUCCUUGGACAGAUGGAAACGAGGAUCAGAUCCUUUCUGCUGCCGUGUUGAUGCCCAGAGGUGGUUCUGCAGAACUUUGGUGGAAUUUUGGGAAUUCUGUAGGAUUCCCUGGGGGUGGAUUCCCAGAGGAUGCCCUCCUUGGAUCUCAUGGAUCCAAACGUGGAAUGGAAUUACCCAGGGGCACAGCAAACAUUCCUGGAGACCUUGGGAAUGCUUCUCCCACUCUCCUCUUUCCCAGACUUCUCCUGGAGAGCCCCGAGGGGCCCUUGGGCUGCCUUUGGGAUUGGGACAGGGAAAUUCCCGGAGCUGGGCCUGGAGUUCCCUUGUUCGUGGUCUUUGAGUGCUUUCCGUGUCCUCCUGAGAAUUCCUGGUUCCCUGGAGCCCUUCCCUGGCCCUUGGAGCCAUCCCUUGGUCCCUGCAGAUCCCUGAUCCUCAUCCCUGUUCCACGGUCCUUGGUCCUUGCAGCUGUUCCUGGCCCUGUGCAUUCCGUGUCCUCCUGGCACUUCAUCCCUGAAUUUAAUCCCAGCAUCCCUGAAUUUAAUCCCUGCAUCCCUGAAUUUAAUCCCUGCAUCCCUGCACUUAAUCCCUGCAUCCUUGCAGCCAUUCCCUGCUCCCUGCAGCCAUUCCCUGCAUCCCUGAACUAAAUCCCAGCAUCCCUGAAUUUAUCCAAGCAUCCUUGCAUCCCUGCAGCCAUUCCCUGUUCCCUGCACUUAAUCCCUGCAUCCCUGCAUUAAUCCCUGCAUCCCUGAAUUUAAUCCCUGCAUCCCUGCAGCCAUUCCCAGUUCCCUGCAGCCAUUCCCUGAUCCCUGCAGCCAUUCCCAGUUCCCAUGGAUAACAGUCAUUCCUAAUUCCCACUGUUCCCAGUGCCUUAAAUCCAUCCCAAUCCCAACACUGGAUUUCUGUUCCCUGUGCUCUUCCCCCUGCACCUCACGGCUCCUUAUCCCAUUAUUAAUGCAUCCCUGGAUCCCAUCAGUGCAUCCCUGGAUCCCAUUAAUGCAUCCCUGGAUCCCAUUAAUGCAUCCCUGGAUCCCAUUAAUGCAUCCCUGGAUCCAUCAGUGCAUCCCUGGAUCCCAUUAAUGCAUCCCUGGAUCCCAUUAAUGCAUCCCUGGAUCCAUCAGUGCAUCCCUGGAUCCAUCAGUGCAUCCCUGGAUCCCAUUGAUGCAUCCCUGGAUCCCAUCAGUGCAUCCCUGGAUCCAUCAGUGCAUCCCUGGAUCCCAUUGAUGCAUCCCUGGAUCCCAUCAGUGCAUCCCUGGAUCCAUCAGUGCAUCCCUGGAUCCCAUCAGUGCAUCCCUGGAUCCCAUCAGUGCAUCCCUGGAUCCAUCAGUGCAUCCCUGGAUCCCAUUAAUGCAUCCCUGGAUCCCAUCAGUGCAUCCCUGGAUCCAUCAGUGCAUCCCUGGAUCCCAUUAAUGCAUCCCUGGAUCCCAUCAGUGCAUCCCUGGAUCCCAUCAGUGCAUCCCUGGAUCCAUCAGAGCAUCCCUGGAUCCAUCAGUGCAUCCCUGGAUCCCAUCAGAGCAUCCCUGGAUCCAUCAGUGCAUCCCUGGAUCCCAUUAAUGCAUCCCUGGAUCCCAUCAGUGCAUCCCUGGAUCCCAUUAAUGCAUCCCUGGAUCCCAUCAGUGCAUCCCUGGAUCCCAUUAAUGCAUCCCUGGAUCCCAUCAGUGCAUCCCUGGAUCCCAUUAAUGCAUCCCUGGAUCCCAUUAAUGCAUCCCUGGAUCCCAUCAGUGCAUCCCUGGAUCCCAUCAGUGCAUCCCUGGAUCCAUCAGUGCAUCCCUGGAUCCCAUUAAUGCAUCCCUGGAUCCCAUUAAUGCAUCCCUGGAUCCAUCAGUGCAUCCCUGGAUCCCAUUAAUGCAUCCCUGGAUCCAUCAGUGCAUCCCUGGAUCCAUCAGUGCAUCCCUGGAUCCCAUUAAUGCAUCCCUGGGACAGGCAGGGACAUUCCAGAGGGGAUGGAUCCAUGGGAUGAAGCUGAGGGGACACUGGGGACAUCCCGGUGGUGGCAGCAGGAGCCGCUCUGAGCGUGUCCCUGGUUCCUCCUUCCCUCCCCACGCUCCCAUUCCCGGUGUUUGCUGUAAAUAGGGAAUAUUUAUCAAAAUUUAUUGCAGAGAUUUCUAAACUUGCCCCAAUCCCGUUUUUCCCAGAGCUUUUGGCUUUGCUGGGAUCUCCUGGAGAAGGAGAAUUGCGCCUCCCCAACGGGCUCCGGCGUCGGUACAAAUCAAUCCAGUCCCAAUCCCAGUCCAAAUCCCAAUCCCAGUCCAAUCCCAAUCCCAAUCCCAAUCCAAAUCCCAGUCCAAAUCAAUCCAGUCCCAAUCCAAAUCCCAAUCCCAGUCCAAAUCCCAAUCCCAGUCCAAUCCCAAUCCCAAUCCCAGUCCAAAUCAAUCCAGUCCCAAUCCAAAUCCCAAUCCCAAUCCCAGUCCAAAUCCCAAUCCCAGUCCAAUCCCAAUCCCAAUCCCAGUCCAACCCCAAUCCCAGUCCAAAUCCCAGUCCAAAUCAAUCCCAAUCCUAUUCCCAGUCCCAAUCAAUCCUAAUCCCAGUUCAAAUCAACCCCAAUCCCAAUCCCAGUCCCUAUUCCAGUCCAAAUCCCAAUCCCAGUCCCAGUCCAACCCCAAUCCCAGUCCAAAUCCCAGUCCAAAUCAAUGCCAAUCCUAUUCCCAGUCCCAAUCAAUCCUAAUCCCAGUCCAAAUCAACCCCAAUCCCAGUCCCAAUCCCAGUCCAAAUCAAUCCCAGUCCAAAUAAAUCCAAUCCCAAUCCAAAUCAAUCCCAAUCCCAGUCCCAGUCCCAAUCAAUCCCAGUCCCAAUCCCAAUCCCAGUCCCAAUCCCAGUCCCAGUCCCAAUCCCAGGCUGGGAAUUCCAGGCUCCCAGGGCUGAGGAUGGAGCGAUUCCUUCCCUCAGUUUUGUCCCGGUUCCGUUUUCCCCGGAGGCUUUUCCCGGCCGGAUCCGUCCCAGGGGGUCCCUGGAGCUCUCGGAGCUCUCGGAUUUUCCCUUUCCCUCGUUUCUGUCUUUGCCUUCCGUGUCCGACCCGGCUGCAGCGGCGCUCGGGGGGGUUUGGGUGGGAAUGUGGAGUUUUCCAGGUGUUCUCCGUGACAUUUUCCAAACCUUUCCUUUAAUCCCACCCGAGUCCCGGGGUCCUGAUCCCUGCUGGCACAUCCCGAUCCCGGUGCUUCUCCUGCAGGAUCCAUUCCCUCCAGCCAAUCCCUCCCUGGCUCCUCUUUCCCAUCCAUCCUCACUCGGAACAUUCCCUGUUUUCCGUCGAGUUGGAGCCUCUGGAGCCGCUUUUCCAGGGCCUGUCCAUCCCUGGCGGGGCUGGCUGGGAAUUCCUGGCUCUGACUGUUCGCACAACCCGGGAGGAUCCCCCGGAGCCGCCUCCAGCCCCAGAGCCCCCGGGAUGUGAAAAUGAUCCCAAAACUCUUUGGUGGGAAUAAUUCCAGAUUCCAGGGGAGCGGGAGGCUCUGGGGGCACAGCGGUGCCGGGGGUCCUGAGGGAGAGGAUUCUGUCCGGGCUCUGGGCUGGGCCUGGGGGUUCUGUGCCCACCCUGGGGGCUCUGGACCCACCCUGGGGCUCUGUGCCCAUCCUGGGGGCUCUGGGCACGUUUGGGGGACUCCAGACCCAUCCCGGUGGUUCUGUGCCCGUCCUGGGUGUUCUGUGCCCAUCCCAGGGGGUUCUGUGCCCAUUCCAGGGGGUUCUGUGCCCAUCCUGGGUGUUCUGUGCCCAUCCCAGGCCGUGCCUGGCUCCUGCCCUGGCUCAUUUUGGGAAAAGGCCUCGGGAAUGGCGCCUGUGCCACGUCCCGGCCCAGGCAGAGCCAAUUGCAGGGUUGG